GCGACGUCUAGUGGUGUAAAGUUAUGAUGUAAGUUAGUUGAUGUAAAGUCAAUUGAUUAAACUUACUUUAGGGUGAAUUUCACAAAUUAUUUUAUUAAGGUUAUUUUUAGGAUCACUUAAAAAGGUAAGUGAAAUAGUAAUAAGUUAGGGGUAUUUUAGUAGUUGCGUUGUUUGUCCUUAAAAAGGGGAAUGGAAUGGUUUGCUUUAUAAGGUACUAGCACGGUACUUCUCAUUCCGACAACGACCAUCAGUAGUAGUGGUGGUGACGGUUGGUGGUGGUGCUGGAGUCAAAAAGUGUAGAUAUUUAAAUUUAAGAAGAUAAUUGAGAUACUUCUAAAGAUAAGGAACUAAUGAUGUUAUAUAUUAUUUGUGGACGAUUUAGACAAUUGACAUGUCCAAAAGAAUAAUAUUCAAAAAAGGGGUCAAUAAUCCUUACAAAGUAGUAUAAAUAUAUUCUUUGUA